AUAAAAAAUGUCCACUUGUUCAGCUUGUUAAGGCCAGACAACAAUUUGUUUGCUGUCUGGCCUUAACGAUUAACAAACGGCUAGUUAUCAGAUAUGAUAUCUAUCUCAACGUCUUCAAGUGGCAGAAAUUGGAUCUCUCAUAAUACGCGUAGAAUCAGUGACCCGACGUUUAUUAGAACACGUACCUUCAUUCUUAUUCUCCGUGCGCAAUCUCCGUUUAUUUGUAUCCCACUCUAUCAUACGGCGACUAUUAGUCUCAGUAAAGUCACUUGAAAGUGGUAUACACUGAGAAAAAAGUUUUUUGAAAAAAGCAUCUUUAUAAAGUAUACUUGUAUGAAGAAACUCAUAGUCACAAAUUUCCAAGAAAAAGAUAUCUUGCAGGUAGAGACAAAAUUUUAGUCAAAAGGUUUUGUACUUCUACGAAAGAUGACCAAUGAAUUGACAACCACAAGGCAAUUUCUCGAACCAAAUCGGUUUUACAUUGAAAUCUUUUGGAUUUUAGAGAAGAAAACGUGUGAGUAAAUUCCCUAAGCAAAAUUUUAUUUCGGAAAUGCCACUUUCACUAUGAAUAAACCAUCAUCAUCCUUGCUACAAGUACAUAAUGUUUCGAUCGAAGUUUUUCUUCUUUCCGAGUAAGAUAUGAUUUUCGAAAAAAUCUUCAUCUUACGGAUGAGUACUAAAUCCCUUAAUUACUAUUUUUUCCUGUCAGUACAAGAUAUCGCCUUGUUGGAAAUUUUUGGUUAUAGGUUUCUUCAUACAAGUAAAGAUGUAUUUUUCAGAGAAUUGUUUUUUUUUCAACUGAUUACUGAGCUAGCGAAUAUGAGUCUACAUAUGCAGAGCAUAGGAAUAACGAGCUGGGAAUGACGUUAAUAACAAGCUUAACGCCAAAAGAGGGACAACGCGCAGAGAAAACCGGAUGCUAUAAACAGUCGCUGUGCAGCACUUAUAUUCAUCUUUUUAACCGAAUGCAAUCCUGAAGGAAUUGUAACGAAUAGAGACCUAAUUUCCAACUUCCUACAAUUAAUAGAGCGAUGGGGGUAUACGAGGAAGUAACAUUGCAGCGGUGGCGACGCAAGGGACAUCUCGUUAACCUUUUCAAUUGCAAACAGAUUGUCCUGCCAAUGAAAUAUGACAGAUUUGGCUCAUAAUUAUGACGGGAAUAUAGGAAUGAAUAUAAAAACUAGGCCGAGACCUUACCAGCUCUGACGUUGACAUCUCGGCUAUG